AUACAGUCCCCUCUAAUGCAAAGUAAUGUUUUAACCAAAUCACUUUGCCUCGCUUGUGGACAAGAUAAAUAUACCCCUAUUAUCCUAGCGUCUAAAUUAAAUUAUGUGUUUUGGUGCUCGAGAAACGUAGAGGUACAAGA